AGAGUUUGAUCCUGGCUGAGGAUGAACGCUGGCGGCGUGGAUAAGGCAUGCAAGUCGAACGAACUAUUUUUAGUAGCAAUACUUUUAAUAAUUAGUGGCGAACGAGUUAGUAACACCUUGGUACAUACCCCGAAGUCGGGCAUAACUAGUCGAAAGACUGGCUAAUUCCCGAUAGUAUCGCAAGAUUAAAGUCGUAAGACGCUUUGGGAGUGGCCUAGGUCCUAUCAGCUAGUUGGUGAGGUAAUAGCUCACCAAGGCUAUGACGGGUAGGGGGUGUGAGAGCAUGACCCUCAACGACGGAACUGAGACACGGUCCGUACACCUACGGGUGGCAGCAGUCGAGAAUAUUCGACAAUGGGCGAAAGCCUGAUCGAGCGACGCCGCGUGCGGGAAGAAGGCCUUCGGGUCGUAAACCGCUUUUGCGUGGGAAGAACUAUGACGGUACCACGAGAAUAAGGGGUUGCUAACUCUGUGCCAGCAGCAGCGGUAAUACAGAGACCCCGAGCGUUAUCCGGAAUUACUGGGCGUAAAGCGCAAGUAGUCGGUUAUAUUAGUCUGGCGUUAAAUUCCGAGGCCCAACUUCGGAACCGCGCCAGAAACGGUAUGACUAGAACAUGUGAGAGGUAUGCGGAACGUGCAGUGUAGGGGUGAAAUCCAUUGAUAUUGCACGGAACACCAAAAGCGAAGGCAGCAUACUGGCGCAUUGUUGACGAUCAGUUGCGAAAGCGUGGGGAUCAAAAAGGAUUAGAUACCCUUGUAGUCCACGCCCUAAACGAUGUCGACUAGCUAUUGGGAGCAUCGACCCUUCCAGUGGCAAAGCUAACGCGUUAAGUCGAUCGCCUGGGAAGUACGAACGCAAGUUUAAAACUCAAAGGAAUAGGCGGGAGCUCGCACAAGCAGUGGAUCAUGCGGUUCAAUUCGAUACAGACCGAGGAACCUCACCAGGGCUUGAAAUCUAGCUGCAUGACUUAGAAAUAAGUCAGCCUUCGAGGGUGCUAGACAGGUGCUGCACGGCUGUCGUCAGCUCGUCUCGUGAGAGGUCUCCUUAAGUGGAUCAACGAGCGCAACCCCUGUCGCGUGUUACAAGUGUCACGCGAGACUGCUUCGGUAACGGAGAGGAAGGUGGGGAUGACGUCAAGUCAGCGUGGCCCUCUGAUGCCCUGGGCUACACGCAUGAUACAAUGGGCGUUACAAUGGGUCGCCAACCCGCAAGGGGGAGCUAAUCCCAUCAAAAGCGUCCUCAGUUCGGAUAGGAGGCUGCAACUUGCCUCCUUGAAGCUGGAAUUGCUAGUAAUCGCAGAUCAGCAUGCUGCGGUGAAUACGUUCUCGAGCUUUGCACUCACUGCCCGUCAACUCAAGGGAGCCGGUAAUACCUGAAGACCCAUUAUUUCCAGUGGGGACAUGGUAGGAUCGGUAACAGGGAGUAAGUCGUAACAAGGC
rnacentral:rRNA from 1 species